AUUGUAUUACUACUCUUAAAAGAGCAUUGAGUGUGCCGUUUCAAUAGUAAUCAUUGAUUUCCAUAUCCUAAGAAGCGGAAACAAGGCGAAAAUGAAAAAUUCUAUUACUAGAAAAGAAGGUACCUUUAAGGAAAAGUGUUUUUUUACUUAAAUUGUCUAAUCUGUUCAUUUUAUUGAAAUUACCUAUUUCAAUAAAAGACCAUUUCAAAAUGCAUGUAUGCAUGCAUUGUAUGGAAUUUAUAUCCAUUGUAUGGAAUGUUCAAAAAUUAAGACAUUUUUGCUUUGGCAAAUGGCAAAUUGCAAAAACUGAAAUGACGGCUGACUUUUAAAUUUAGGCGACUUGUGGAUGGUAGAUGGGGAAAGUAAACAAAAUGCUGUAAAUGUUUUGUGCUGUCAUUUUGGCUGAAACAUUUCAACAAAUUUGGUUUUUAUGACAGCCAAAUGUGUGUGUAAUUAUUCCUGUCGAAUGCCGGAAUGGACGCGAAGGGACCUUGGCUGGACUUGGCAGGAAAAUUGCCCCAAACAAUUAUUAUGAUGGUUGAUAAGCCUCACGCACAUACAAACACCCCUCCACAUGUGCAAGUACAUACCACACGUUUGUACCGAAAGCGUGGAGUCGGAAUUUGCUUUGCGUUUAGUCACUCGGCUAUAUCUCGAUCCGAUGUGUGGCGUCGCCUUGCUAUUCCGAUGGAAGCCGCAUGAGAACUGAAAUGUCGCCGAUGGAGGAACACGGCCACUGCGUUGACUGAGGCAGCGACUGGGGCAGCGACUGGGGCAGCGACGCUUGCGGCUCUGCCGGAAAACUCGGAAAAUCGCAGAGUCUGCGCACGAAAAACGCCGAGUGAAUGAAAACAAAAUUAACCCGUACGGCGGCAACAGUAGUUUUAAUAACCAAUAUAUUCAAAGAUUUACGAAUAAACAUGCAUAUUUUUUA